UACGGGGGGAGCAAGCGUUGUUCGGAUUUACUGGGCGUAAAGGGCGCGUAGGCGGCCACCGCAAGUCAGUUGUGAAAUCUCUGGGCUUAACCCAGAAAGGUCAACUGAUACUGUGCGACUAGAGUGCAGAAGGGGCAACUGGAAUUCUCGGUGUAGCGGUGAAAUGCGUAGAUAUCGAGAGGAACACCGGUGGCGAAGGCGGCCCCCUGGACCGGUACUGACGCUGAGGCGCGAAAGCGUGGGUAGCAAACGGG
rnacentral:rRNA from 1 species